rnacentral:misc_RNA from 1 species
GUAAUCAUAUCUGGAUAAGACCAUGCACACAGGAGAAGGAAUUAGCCGAUAGCCAAACAAAUGUAUUACAAGUUCCAAAAGUGGGGUAAAAAACCAUCAAGAAUAUGGAUAUUAGUCUGCUUUUGAAGCAAAAUGCAUUCUGUUUUUGUUGGAGGCAAUGUGUGUUUUAUGUGCAUGGCCGAUCAGAUUACUAUACAUAUUCAUCAAAAAAUUUAGCAGUGUAAGCAUUUAAUACAUGGAACAGUCUCAUAGUUUUUAUCAAAUUAAUAUUAGGGAACAGUAACAGAACUAACACAAAAUAUGUGUUUUAUAUGUGGCCAAUCUCAUUAGUCAGACAUAGUUUGACACGAAGCAGUUAUUAUUUGUAAGGCAGACCUCAUAUUAGUUCUGCAAUCUGAAAAAAAA